rnacentral:rRNA from 1 species
UACGUAGGGGCCUAGCGUUGUCCGGAAUUAUUGGGCGUAAAGAGCUCGUAGGCGGUUCGGCAAGUCGGAUGUGAAAUCUCCACGCUCAACGUGGAGGGGCCAUUCGAAACUGUCGGGCUAGAGUCCGGAAGAGGCGAGUGGAAUUCCCGGUGUAGCGGUGAAAUGCGCAGAUAUCGGGAGGAACACCAAUGGCGAAGGCAGCUCGCUGGGACGGUACUGACGCUGAGACGCGAAAGCGUGGGGAGCAAACAGG